GACGAACCGUGCAAACGUUGUUCGGAAUCACUGGGCUUAAAGGGCGCGUAGGCGGGCAGGCAAGUCCGGGGUGAAAUCUUUCGGCUUAACCGGAAAAGUGCCUUGGAUACUGCUUGUCUGGAGGGAGGUAGGGGCAUGUGGAACUUCUGGUGGAGCGGUGAAAUGCGUUGAUAUCAGAAGGAACGCCGGUGGCGAAAGCGGGUCUCUGGGCCGAUACUGACGCUGAGGAGCGAAAGCAUGGGUAGCGAACAGG
rnacentral:rRNA from 1 species